UGCGUCCGUCUGCGUGCUUCUUCUCAUCCUGGUGCGUACCAUGGUGAGAAGACAAGGCAGAGGCAGGUGCUCCCGAUGGAUGGACGCCGGCGAUUGAGGCUGCUCACUUAGGCUACGUUUGAUUCGAGUCCAGAUAACUAGUGUAUGCGCCUGCUUGUGCGGACUGAUGGCGAAUGCAAGUGCGUGCACAAUGAUGAUCCUCUGGCCACCUACAAUAAGCUACUCACUGAGGUGUCCAAGUACAAGCAGACCACGCCCUAGAUAGACUGGGAUGAUUCUACACCAAGUCGGUCUUGUUGGGCACGAUCCUGUUAUGGAGAAGCUUAAGAUUUCUGACACCAUUGCUCCUAUGUUCUCUGGAGAUGUUGGCAUGGCUGACCUGUUGGUGGGACCAGAUUGUGUCUGCUUCUGCCGGUGCAGGAGCUUCUUCCCCUGCGCCUCUGUUGUCCGCAUGUCUAGU